GGGUUGUGAGGUUAAGCGACUAAGCGUACACGGUGGAUGCCCUGGCAGUCAGAGGCGAUGAAGGACGUGCUAAUCUGCGAUAAGCGUCGGUGAGGUGAUAUGAACCGUUAUAACCGGCGAUUUCCGAAUGGGGAAACCCAGUGUGUUUCGACACACUAUCAUUAACUGAAUCCAUAGGUUAAUGAGGCGAACCGGGGGAACUGAAACAUCUAAGUACCCCGAGGAAAAGAAAUCAACCGAGAUUCCCCCAGUAGCGGCGAGCGAACGGGGAGGAGCCCAGAGCCUGAAUCAGUGUGUGUGUUAGUGGAAGCGUCUGGAAAGGCGCGCGAUACAGGGUGACAGCCCCGUACACAAAAAUGCACACAUUGUGAGCUCGAUGAGUAGGGCGGGACACGUGGUAUCCUGUCUGAAUAUGGGGGGACCAUCCUCCAAGGCUAAAUACUCCUGACUGACCGAUAGUGAACCAGUACCGUGAGGGAAAGGCGAAAAGAACCCCGGCGAGGGGAGUGAAAAAGAACCUGAAACCGUGUACGUACAAGCAGUGGGAGCCUCUUAAUGGGGUGACUGCGUACCUUUUGUAUAAUGGGUCAGCGACUUAUAUUCUGUAGCAAGGUUAACCGAAUAGGGGAGCCGAAGGG
rnacentral:rRNA from 1 species